GACGAACGCUGGCGGCGUGCCUAAUACAUGCAAGUCGAGCGGACGAAUCGAAAGCUUGCUUUUGAUUCGUUAGCGGCGGACGGGUGAGUAACACGUGGGCAACCUGCCCUGUAGACGGGGAUAACACCGAGAAAUCGGUGCUAAUACCGGAUAACACGAAAUGUCGCAUGACGCUUCGUUGAAAGACGGCGCAAGCUGUCGCUACAGUAUGGGCCCGCGGCGCAUUAGCUAGUUGGUGAGGUAACGGCUCACCAAGGCGACGAUGCGUAGCCGACCUGAGAGGGUGAUCGGCCACACUGGGACUGAGACACGGCCCAGACUCCUACGGGAGGCAGCAGUAGGGAAUCUUCCGCAAUGGACGAAAGUCUGACGGAGCAACGCCGCGUGAGCGAAGAAGGCCUUCGGGUCGUAAAGCUCUGUUGUUAGGGAAGAACAAGUAACGCAGUAACUGGCGUUACCGUGACGGUACCUAACGAGAAAGCCACGGCUAACUACGUG
rnacentral:rRNA from 1 species